rnacentral:rRNA from 1 species
AUUGAACGCUGGCGGCAGGCUUAACACAUGCAAGUAGAACGAGUGGCGGACGGGUGAAUAAUGUCUGGGAAACUGCCUGAUGGAGGGGGAUAACUACUGGAAACGGUAGCUAAUACCGCAUACCAUCGAAGGUGGCCAGAUGGGAUUGGCUAGUGGGUGGGGUAACCGCUAACCAGGGCGACGAUCCCUAGCUGGUCUGAGAGGAUGACCAUCCACACUGGAACGUAGACACGGUCCAGCAUCCUACUGUAGGCAGCAGUGGCGAAUAUUGCACAAUGGGCGCAAGCCUGAUGCAGCCGUGCCGCGUGUAUGAAGAAGGCCUUCGGGUUGUAAAGUACUUUCAGCGGUUAGGCGUUACUCGCAGAAUAAGCACCGGCUAACUACGUGCCAGCAGCCGCGGUAAUUC